rnacentral:rRNA from 1 species
AAUGGGGGAAACCCUGACGCAGCAACGCCGCGUGAAGGACGAAGGUUUUCGGAUCGUAAACUUCUUUGACCGGGGACGAAGAAAUGACGGUACCCGGGGAACAAGCCACGGCUAACUACGUGCCAGCAGCCGCGGUAAUACGUAGGUGGCGAGCGUUGUCCGGAUUUACUGGGUGUAAAGGGCGCGUAGGCGGGGCGGCAAGUCCGAUGUGAAAUCCCGCGGCUUAACUGCGGAACUGCAUCGGAAACUGCCGUCCUUGAGUAUCAGAGGGGAAAGCGGAAUUCCUAGUGUAGCGGUGAAAUGCGUAGAUAUUAGGAGGAACACCGGUGGCGAAGGCGGCUUUCUGGCUGAAAACUGACGCUGAUGCGCGAAAGCGUGGGGAGCAAA